rnacentral:lncRNA from 1 species
CGCCACAAUCACCCAAACCCAGACGGCAGCACGAGCCAUGUCUCACCUUGGGAUCUCUCCUGCCACCACCGCCAGAGGAGGGGUCUCGGCCCCACGCAGCCUGGCCUGGCCUUCGGCUUCCACCCUAUAAGGGAGACCCAAGAGACAAGGUGACACCCACAGUGAGACGCCAUCGACUGGGCUCCUCGGGCGGUCGGCGCUGCCCCGUUGGGCUCGAGGAUGGAAAGGCAGGAAGAGAAAGGCAUUCCUCCCCGCACGGCCACUGGGCAACCCAAGGGGCCCGCCCCACCCAACGAGGCCUCGCCAUCCCUCGGGGGGCCUCUAGGACCCGUCCCCUGGCUUUCGGUCUCUCUGGGCCGCGGAGGACCAGCUGGGCCCCUGUGCAGGACGUCCAAGAGACCUUCCUAGCCAGAGCUGUCCCAUCCCUGGGACGCCAGAGCCCUUCUGGACUGCUGGCCUCGCCCGCAUCUGCCGCCCACCCUCCACCAGCCCCUCGCACUGCCCUGCCCAGCCCAGCCCCGACAAGCCCUGGGAUGCUGCUCACACUGGUCCCCUGGCUCCAAAGACAACGCUGCCAUCCUCGCCUGCUCAUCCAGGAAGGAGCCGGCCUUCGGGUCCGGCGGCUGCACACUGAGGAGUACAAAGCCAAGAGGAGGAGACCCAAUGGCACAGCCAUUCUCCAGGCUCGCGGCUUCCACACACACACCUGGCCAUAGCCUGGCAUGCGGCAUACCAUGAGGGUCACCAAGGACCUGGCAAAUGCCUUCACUCCCUUUCUCUCUAGAUUCAGUUCUCUGAUACUGCCGGACGGGUGCUCACAUUUUCCCAUUGGGCUAACACCAGGAAAACGCUGGAAUGCCCGUGCUCUGUCAGUCACCCUCGUCGUUUCCUGACCUCGGCCUAUUGGGUCACUGCUUUGUGGACAUUGAACCAGAUUCUUUCUUCAGUGGACCUCGGAGUUUCAGACAGGUUUUCAUCGUACAGGACGCAUAUGCCACCAGGAGUCAUCUUCAAUCCAAUACUGUCCCUCCUGUGUUCCCUUAGCUUGACCUUCUUUGUUGAUCAAUUUAUUAAAGGGCUGGGUAAGAUAUCAAUACCCUACCUGAACUUCCAGGGGUCCGUGGGAUGGGAAGCGUCUCAUGAUACCUGUCACCAUGGACUGUGCAAUUUGGUCUUGCCUUUACUCCCUCUCCCUUUCGUUUCCUUUUCU